UAAGGCUCACCAAGGGGACGAUGCGUAGCCGACCUGAGAGGGUGAUCGGCCACACUGGGAAUGAGACACGGCCCAGAUUCCUACGGGAGGCAGCAGUAGGGAAUCUUCCGCAAUGGACGAAAGUCUGACGGAGCAACGCCGCGUGAGUGAUGAAGGUUUUCGGAUCGUAAAGCUCUGUUGUUAGGGAAGAACAAGUGCGAGAGUAACUGCUCGCACCUUGACGGUACCUAACCAGAAAGCCACGGCUAACUACGUGCCAGCAGCCGCGGUAAUACGUAGGUGGCAAGCGUUGUCCGGAAUUAUUGGGCGUAAAGGGCUCGCAGGCGGUUUCUUAAGUCUGAUGUGAAAGCCCCCGGCUCAACCGGGGAGGGUCAUUGGAAACUGGGAAACUUGAGUGCAGAAGAGGAGAGUGGAAUUCCACGUGUAGCGGUGAAAUGCGUAGAGAUGUGGAGGAACACCAGUGGCGAAGGCGACUCUCUGGUCUGUAACUGACGCUGAGGAGCGAAAGCGUGGGGAGCGAACAGGAUUAGAUACCCUGGUAGUCCACGCCGUAAACGAUGAGUGCUAAGUGUUAGGGGGUUUCCGCCCCUUAGUGCUGCAGCUAACGCAUUAAGCACUCCGCCUGGGGAGUACGGUCGCAAGACUGAAACUCAAAGGAAUUGACGGGGGCCCGCACAAGCGGUGGAGCAUGUGGUUUAAUUCGAAGCAACGCGAAGAACCUUACCAGGUCUUGACAUCCUCUGACAACCCUAGAGAUAGGGCUUUCCCUUCGGGGACAGAGUGACAGGUGGUGCAUGGUUGUCGUCAGCUCGUGUCGUGAGAUGUUGGGUUAAGUCCCGCAACGAGCGCAACCCUUGAUCUUAGUUGCCAGCAUUUAGUUGGGCACUCUAAGGUGACUGCCGGUGACAAACCGGAGGAAGGUGGGGAUGACGUCAAAUCAUCAUGCCCCUUAUGACCUGGGCUACACACGUGCUACAAUGGACAGAACAAAGGGCUGCGAGACCGCAAGGUUUAGCCAAUCCCAUAAAUCUGUUCUCAGUUCGGAUCGCAGUCUGCAACUCGACUGCGUGAAGCUGGAAUCGCUAGUAAUCGCGGAUCAGCAUGCCGCGGUGAAUACGUUCCCGGGCCUUGUACACACCGCCCGUCACACCACGAGAGUUUGCAACACCCGAAGUCGGUGAGGUAACCUUUAUGGAG
rnacentral:rRNA from 1 species